rnacentral:rRNA from 1 species
GACGAACGCUGGCGGCGUGCCUAAUACAUGCAAGUUGAGCGAUGAAGAUUGGUGCUUGCACCAAUUUGAAGAGCAGCGAACGGGUGAGUAACGCGUGGGGAAUCUGCCUUUGAGCGGGGGACAACAUUUGGAAACGAAUGCUAAUACCGCAUAACAACUUUAAACAUAAGUUUUAAGUUUGAAAGAUGCAAUUGCAUCACUCAAAGAUGAUCCCGCGUUGUAUUAGCUAGUUGGUGAGGUAAAGGCUCACCAAGGCGAUGAUACAUAGCCGACCUGAGAGGGUGGUCGGCCACAUUGGGACUGAGACUCGGCCCAAACUCCUACGGGAGGCAGCAGUAGGGAAUCUUCGGCAAUGGACGAAAGUCUGACCGAGCAACGCCGCGUGAGUGAAGAAGGUUUUCGGAUCGUAAAACUCUGUUGGUAGAGAAGAACGUUGGUGAGAGUGGAAAGCUCAUCAAGUGACGGUAACUACCCAGAAAGGGACGGCUAACUACGUG